UAGCCUGUAUGGGUUUGGUUGAAACGGGUUGGGUUGUGUUAACCCGGGGUCUUAACGAGUCAAGAAAAUAUGAACCCAACCCGGCUCGCUACGAGCUCGCGGGCUG
rnacentral:pre_miRNA from 1 species